GACGAACGCUGGCGGCGUGCCUAAUACAUGCAAGUCGAACGCAUUUUCUUUCACCGUAGCUUGCUACACCGAAAGAAAAUGAGUGGCGAACGGGCGAGUAACACGUGGGUAACCUGCCCAUCAGCGGGGGAUAACACUUGGAAACAGGUGCUAAUACCGCAUAAUUCCAUUUACCGCAUGGUAGAUGGAUGAAAGGCGCUUUUGCGUCACUGAUGGAUGGACCCGCGGUGCAUUAGCUAGUUGGUGGGGUAACGGCCUACCAAGGCUGCGAUGCAUAGCCGACCUGAGAGGGUGAUCGGCCACACUGGGACUGAGACACGGCCCAGACUCCUACGGGAGGCAGCAGUAGGGAAUCUUCGGCAAUGGACACAAGUCUGACCGAGCAACGCCGCGUGAGUGAAGAAGGUUUUCGGAUCGUAAAACUCUGUUGUUAGAGAAGAACAAGGAUGAGAGUGGAAAGUUCAUCCCUUGACGGUAGCUAACCAGAAAGCCACGGCUAACUACGUG
rnacentral:rRNA from 1 species